UGUCUGUGGGCUGGUGGAGAUACUGUCAGGCUUGGGAGCGGGAGGGGCCGACGGUAUUCCCGGGGUAGGGGUGAAAUCCUAUAAUCCCGGGAGGACCACCAGUGGCGAAGGCUGUCGGCUAGAACGCGUCCGACGGUGAGGGACGAAAGCUGGGGGGGCGAACCGGAUUAGAUACCCGGGUAGUCCCAGCCGUAAACGAUGCGGGCUAGGUGUUAGGGUGGCUACGAGCCACUCUAGUGCCGCAGCGAAGGCAUUAAGCCCGCCGCCUGGGGAGUACGGCCGCAAGGCUGAAACUUAAAGGAAUUGGCGGGAGAGCACCACAAGGCGUGAAGCGUGCGGUUUAAUUGGAGUCAACACCGGAAACCUUACCGGGGGCGACAGCAGGUUGAAGGCCAGAUUGACGAUCUUGCCAGACAAGCUGAGAGGAGGUGCAUGGCCGUCGCCAGUUCGUGCCGUGAGGUGUCCUGUUAAGUCAGGCAACGAUCGAGACCCACGCUCCCUGUUGCUACCGAGGAAAGUUUCCA
rnacentral:rRNA from 1 species